UGGGGAAUAUUGCACAAUGGGGGAAACCCUGAUGCAGCGACGCCGCGUGAGCGAUGAAGUAUUUCGGUAUGUAAAGCUCUAUCAGCAGGGAAGAAUUAGGACGGUACCUGACUAAGAAGCACCGGCUAAAUACGUGCCAGCAGCCGCGGUAAUACGUAUGGUGCAAGCGUUAUCCGGAUUUACUGGGUGUAAAGGGAGCGUAGACGGAGAGGCAAGUCUGAUGUGAAAACCCGGGGCUCAACCCCGGGACUGCAUUGGAAACUGUUUUUUCUAGAGUGUCGGAGAGGUAAGUGGAAUUCCUAGUGUAGCGGUGAAAUGCGUAGAUAUUAGGAGGAACACCAGUGGCGAAGGCGGCUUACUGGACGAUGACUGACGUUGAGGCUCGAAAGCGUGGGGAGCAAACAGGAUUAGAUACC
rnacentral:rRNA from 1 species